UACGUAGGUGGCUAGCGUUGUCCGGAUUUACUGGGCGUAAAGAGCGCGCAGGCGGUCGUUCAAGUCGAGUGUGAAAGCCCCCGGCUCAACUGGGGAGGGUCGACUCGAUACUGAUCGACUUGAAGGCGGGAGAGGGCAAGCGGAAUUCCCGGUGUAGUGGUGAAAUGCGUAGAUAUCUGGAGGAACACCGGUGGCGAAGGCGGCGAUUCUGGAUCUGUUACGUGACACUGAGGAACGAAAGCCAGGGGAGCAAACCGGGGAGUUAGAA
rnacentral:rRNA from 1 species